UACGUAGGGUGCAAGCGUUGUCCGGAAUUAUUGGGCGUAAAGAGCUCGUAGGCGGUUUGUCGCGUCGGCUGUGAAAACCUGGGGCUCAACCCCGGCCUGCAGCCGAUACGGGCAAACUAGAAUUCGGUAGGGGAGACUGGAAUUCCUGGUGUAGCGGUGAAAUGCGCAGAUAUCAGGAGGAACACCGGUGGCGAAGGCGGGUCUCUGGGCCGAUAUUGACGCUGAGGAGCGAAAGCAUGGUGAGCGAACAGG
rnacentral:rRNA from 1 species